AGAGAUCUGGAGGAAUACCGGUGGCGAAGGCGGCCCCCUGGACGAAGACUGACGCUCAGGUGCGAAAGCGUGGGGAGCAAACAGGAUUAGAUACCCUGGUAGUCCACGCCGUAAACGAUGUCGACUUGGAGGUUGUGCCCUUGAGGCGUGGCUUCCGGAGCUAACGCGUUAAGUCGACCGCCUGGGGAGUACGGCCGCAAGGUUAAAACUCAAAUGAAUUGACGGGGGCCCGCACAAGCGGUGGAGCAUGUGGUUUAAUUCGAUGCAACGCGAAGAACCUUACCUGGUCUUGACAUCCACGGAAGUUUUCAGAGAUGAGAAUGUGCCUUCGGGAACCGUGAGACA
rnacentral:rRNA from 1 species